UUUUAAUUUUAGUCACAAUUUUAAUGACAUUUUUGUAUUAUUAUGGUACUGCUACGUACAGCUUUUGGAAAAAAAGAGGAGUCCCUUACAUCAAGCCAAAGUACCCGUUUCUUGGUACAAUCGAGUCCGAUCUUGCGAUGGAGGCUGAAGUGCAAAAAGAAAUGUAUUGUACUUUCAAAGAUGAACCGUUUUUCGGUUCGUUUUCGUUCAGACAGCCUGUCCUUUUUUUAAGAGACCCUGGUCUUGUUGAAUACAUUUUGAUCAAAGAUUUUUCAUUGUUCACCGACAGAGGAUUUAUCGGUGAUGCGAAUGAUCCGACAUUAGCCAAUAUCGUCAAUCUCGAAGGUCCGGUUUGGAAGGCGCUUAGGGAUAAAUUGAAUCCGGCGUUUUCACGUUUCAAACUGAAAGGAAUGCAGGAUCAAAUCGUAGCAUGCUCAGACGAACUGGUGAAUUUUUUAUCGAAAUACACAGACGGGACUCCAUUCGAAGCGAGGGGGUUGAUGAUAAAAUUUUCAAUGAAUGUAAUCGCUUCCUGCGCUUUUGGUAUAAACGGUGAUAGCUUCAAGAAUGAUUCUUCGCUGGUGAAAAUCCAGCAGUCGAUUUUUGCAAAGCCAAAAAAUAAAUUUUCACACCUCGUUAAACUCUACAUACCUUGGCUCGCUGAAUUAUUAAAAAUGCAUCAGAUUUCCCAAGAAACGCAAGAUAUGUUUGGAAAUGUUUUACAAACCGUAUUAAACUACAGAAAAAUGAAUGAUAUACAUAUAAAAGAUCUUUUAACUAUCCUUGAUCAAUUGAAACGCGACAAAGCAAAUAUUGCAAAUAAACUUAAAUUCGACCAUACGGUUUUCUUAUCUAAUGCAAUAGUAUUUUUUGUCGCCGCUUUUCAAACGACAUCAACCACCCUUCACUUUGCUCUUUAUGAACUGGCAGUCAAUCAAGAUGUGCAGGAGAGAUUAUAUCAAGAGAUAAUAAACCAUAUUAGUCAGAGUGAUUUGAAAUCUAAUGAAUCCUUCGUUAAUAUUAACUAUGUAAAACAAGUAAUUUCAGAAACACUUCGAAAACAUCCACCAGCGAAAGCAGUUUCGCGUAAAUCUCUGCAGCAGUACAAGCUUCCUGGGACGGAGGUCGUCAUCCCGCCAGGGACGAUAGUCACGGUGCCGGUUUAUAGCCUGCACAACGAUCCGAAAUACUUUCCGGAGCCGGGUAAAUUCGAUCCGGAAAGAUUCGGCGACGUGAGAAAAGACCGGAUGGUUAAAAAUGCAUUCGUACCAUUCGGCGAUGGGCCAAGAAAGUGCAUCGGGUCUCGAUUUGCAAGGUUAGAAGUGGAAAUCGCCCUGACAAAAAUUAUUCUAAACUAUAAAGUGACGCUCAACGAAAAGACAAAUAUACCGAUUAAAUACAGAAAAGGUACGCUGUUAUUAGCCGUAGAUGGAGGGGUGUGGAUUAACAUCACCAAACGCAGCUGAAAAAAAAAAAAGCAUAACAGAGAAAUAAACAAUUAUUUAUCAACGGUUUACUUCAUGGAAAUGGUCAUCAACGGCAUUGAAGUCGCUGCGAGAGUAGUUGCUUUUUUUCUCGACUUGAAAAAGGGAGAUUUUUCCAACUUCCUUUCAUUCGUUAUUUUAGCCAUAAUAACACUAAUCACUCCGUAUACACUUACUUGGGGAGGGAAUAUAAUCAAAACAGAGAAUGAGAAACUAUUCAGGGCAAUAUAUGAAAGUUCGUGGUAUAAGAACGAUGUCAGUACGAGAAAGAAAUUGCUCAUAUUUAUGACAAUGGCGGCUAGACCAAUGCAGCUUCAUUUCAGGUUCGUCCUCAAGUUCGAGCUGGAGCAGUUUACGACGUUUAUGCAAGGUGUCUAUUCUUAUAUAAUGCUGCUGCAGCAUUUUGGAACCGCUUGAUGCGAUUUUGGCUCAGAGGAGUUAGAAGGACUAGAUUUUUUCUGUAAACACACUUACGCAAGCAUCCACUAUUUUCUAUCAACGAACGUCUUAAAUCUUGAAGCAUUCACAUAUAACAUUUUAGGUUCAUAAUGUAAAGAUGUGAAUUUGUGCUUAAGGAAUAUUUUUUAAAAUUCCGGGUUCUUUCUUUACUAAGGACUCUCCUUCAUAUAUGCAUGAAAAGUUACUAAAUAACACAUUGAUUUCAUGGGUGAAUAAAAUAAAAAAUAAAAAACGAAUUCUACUCUU
rnacentral:misc_RNA from 1 species